CGUGUGCACAUCUGUAACACAACCCAUGAAUGAACCUUUAGUCCGCACGAUUGCCCAUACUUUUAAAAAGAGUUAAAUUAAUGAAAACUUUUAUUUAUAUCCAUUUUAAAUCGGGAUAUUAAGUGAAGUUAAUCAUGCUGGUAGUUCUUGACAUAAAGCUUUUGUUUUGAAAAUUUUUUUACGUGCCGUUUGAUUUCAAUUUGAUCGUCUGAUUCAAUCGCUCAUACUGAAAAAAAAAAAAAUCUUACCAGAAACGGCUUUAGGAGGCGAUAAUUUUGCACAGAAAAUUUAUCAGGGUAUGAUGUGACUUAGAAAUUAUUCUGAUGCAAAUUUUGUUGUGCGCUAACAGUUCAAGAAGCACAAGUUUCUGAUGGGGCUCUUCGAGGGCGCUUCGUCUCCUCAGGACAUGUUCUGGUACGGUUCAUCAGAGGGAGCAUACGACCCCAGCAGCGACUCUUCCCC